rnacentral:rRNA from 1 species
UACGGAGGGUGCGAGCGUUGUCCGGAAUCAUUGGGCGUAAAGGGCGCGUAGGUGGCCCGGUCAGUUCGUGGUGAAAGCGCGGGGCUCAACCCUGCGUCGGCCAUGAAUACUGCCGCGGCUGGAGCACUGUAGAGGCAGGCGGAAUUCCGGGUGUAGCGGUGGAAUGCGUAGAGAUCCGGAAGAACACCGGUGGCGAGGCGGC